rnacentral:rRNA from 1 species
UACGUAGGGAGCAAGCGUUGUCCGGAAUCAUUGGGCGUAAAGCGCGCGUAGGUGGCCUCAUAAGUCCGUUGUGAAAGUCAAAGGCUCAACCUUUGAAAGCCGAUGGAUACUGUGAGACUAGAGUACGGAAGAGGCGAGUGGAAUUCCUGGUGUAGCGGUGGAAUGCGCAGAUAUCAGGAGGAACACCGAUGGCGAAGGCAGGUCACUGGGCCGCAACUGACGCUGAGGAGCGAAAGCAUGGGGAGCGAACAGG